AGCCCAUGGAAAGGUCAUAGUCUUAACAAAUCUUUAUAACGCUCUAAUGCGUCAAACAGGGACUCCGUAUCUUCUUGUCUAAAGUUGUUAAUCUCAUUCCUAACUUU